CGGCGAGUGAAGCGGCAACAGCUCAAAUUUGAAAUCUGGCUCUUUCAGGGUCCGAGUUGUAAUUUGCAGAGGGCGCUUUGGCGUUGGCAGCGGUCCAAGUUCUUUGGAACAGGACGUCACAGAGGGUGAGAAUCCCGUACGUGGUCGCUAGCCUUUGCCGUGUAAAGCCCCUUCGACGAGUCGAGUUGUUUGGGAAUGCAGCUCUAAAUGGGAGGUAAAUUUCUUCUAAAGCUAAAUACUGGCCAGAGACCGAUAGCGCACAAGUAGAGUGAUCGAAAGAUGAAAAGCACUUUGGAAAGAGAGUCAAAUAGCACGUGAAAUUGUUGAAAGGGAAGCGCUUGCAGCCAGACUUGCCUGUAGUUGCUUAUCCGGACUUUUGUCCGGUGCACUCUUCUGCGGGCAGGCCAGCAUCAGUUUAGGCGGUUGGAUAAAGGUCUCUGUCAUGUACCUCCUUUCGGGGAGGCCUUAUAGGGGAGACGUCAUGCAACCAGCCUGGACUGAGGUCCGCGCAUCUGCUAGGAUGCUGGCGUAAUGGCUGUAAGCGGCCCGUCUUGAAACACGGACCAAGGAGUCUAACAUCUAUG
rnacentral:rRNA from 1 species